AGCGAACGCUGGCGGCGUGCCUAACACAUGCAAGUCGAACGUGAAAAGGGAAACCUGAGUAAAGUGGCGUACGGGUGAGUAACGCGUAGGUAAUCUACCCCAGAAUCUGGAAUAACCUGCCGAAAGGCGGGCUAAUACUGGAUAGAGCGAGGGAACUCGUAAGAGAGUUUUUCGGGAAAGGGAGCCCGCAAGGGCCUUCGUUCUGGGAUGAGCCUGCGUCUCAUUAGCUAGUUGGUAAGGUAACGGCUUACCAAGGCGAUGAUGAGUAGCUGGUCUGAGAGGAUGAUCAGCCACACUGGAACUGAAACAAGGACCAGAAUCCUACAGGAGGCAGCAGUGGGGAAUCUUGCGCAAUGGACGAAAGUCUGACGCAGCCACGCCGCGUGAGUGAAGAAGGCCUUCGGGUUGGAAAGCUCUGUCGGAUGGGACGAACAUCUUCAUAGUGAAUAGCUAUGAGGACUGACGGUACCAUCAAAGGAAGCACCGGCUAACUCCGUG
rnacentral:rRNA from 1 species